CAGUGAUCCAGCAGCCUGGAUAUCAUCUAAGAAAAACUGGCCUGAUGCCCAGCCUGGGGUUUUGCAAGGGCCAGUGAAGGCGCCCCGUGAAGUGGGGACAGGUGUGGACAAAGAGCAAAGAUUCAGAAAAUGAGAGGUUGGAGCAGAGCUGAUUGAAGCAAGAAGUUUGUGAGAACAAGUGUCCUAGCUGAGCAAGAAUGAGGCCCAGAGGCAUGGUGACCAAACGAAGCCCUGAGUCAUAAGAUGCCCUUCCUCUGUGCCUGCGUGGAAGCGCUCCUGGACUGAAGAUGGGUGGCUAUUGUGAACGGCAUCUUUUUCCCAUUGUAUUUUUCAUUACUUAUAUGCAAUAAAGC
rnacentral:lncRNA from 1 species